ACGGUAAAAAAGGCCUUGGACCUCUCGAAGCCAGGGUAUUCAGUUGGGUAGAAAUGUAGGCGGAUGAAUUUUUGGCCCGGAGUGACAUGGAAAGUGUAGGCGAAUGUGGACCGAGAAAUCUGAGCUGUCAUGUAGGGGACGGGAUGAGUAGGAGGAAUUAGGUGCUUUCCAACGGGAGUAGAGCUUACCAAAUUGCGUCUCCCUCUGGAUCCUCGCAAAAUGAUGUAUCUGGAAGCAACGUCACCGGUCCAUUGCCGGCCAUCUAGAGCAGUUGAGUUGCCAGAGGAGCCGCAGUUGACGGCGAUGAUGUCAUCCGCUAGUAGUAGUGGGGAGCACAGAGGAGCAAACUCGCUGACAGACAGCAAAAUA